rnacentral:lncRNA from 1 species
CUAUAAGAUGGCUGCCUUUAACUACAAUGAAAAGAAAAGGUGAGUGCAAAAAAUAGCCUAAACUUAACAAGUGGGAGGGAAAGGCAGAGGGAGUGAGUCCCCAACAGUGUAUAAGAAAACCUUAAUUUGCCCCCAUGUAUUUGUGCAUAAGUUCACUAGAUACUGCUGCUGUUAUCUUUUGGUCUCAAGAACACCUCUCACACCACUCAGAUUUAGUGUCACUGCAAAUUUGUGUCUUUCUUCUAUUGACAGUAGGCUGUGGCAGUAAUGCUUAAGGAGCAUAAUUAAGACCAUAUUCUUUUGGGUGGGUCAGUUAAUUGGGUUCUUUCUCUUUUGUUGUACAGUAGUUCAAAGACAGAUCUGUGGUUACCCAGGUGCCUACGUGGUUGCAGGUGGAAUCAGGCAAAAAAGGCUCUCUUAAAAGAGGAAAAGAGUGUGAUGGACCCCCCAAAAAGCUGUUUGUCGCUGGAGUAACCAACCCCCCCCCCCCCCCCCCACAUCAUAGGGUAUGGUGUUAGGUGAGGCGUUCUUUCAAACUUAGGGACAUAUACACAGUGAUGUGUAAAUACAUACACUGACCCAUGUCUGGUCACUCACCUAAGACUAUUUCAACAUAGGUCAAAGCACCUUAGUUAAAAAGAACCUUCUGCCAUACUUUUCCUGGCAUCUGGAAAGUCAGUACUGCUUAAUUUACAGGUCCAGUAUUUUCAGCAACAUUGCAAGAAUCAUCUAACAAAGGUUUUGACAUUUCAUUACACCAGGCCAUGGUUUAUUUGGGCAGACAAGAAUGUAAAGCUCUGUGUUCCAGUCUGCGUGCCCUUGUCCAAGGGAAGCAUCCAUGUCUUCUGGCCUCCUGGCACUUUCUCCCCCAGCGUCAUCCACUUCCCACCAUUCCAGCAUUUAAAAUCACACCUGUCAGCCACUUGCAACCUAAAAUAAGGUGGAGAACACAAAUGGGCACAUAUGUACAUACACAUUUACAUAUACCUGUCUGAAAUUGGAUCAGAAAACCAUAGUAUCAACUGAAAUGUAAAUUGAGCUCCACUGCUAAUAACAGUGGCUCAAGACUGAUGUGUUAUUUAGACAAGAAAGCAUCAGCAAGUGAUAGAAGAAUGAUGUGUUUAUAAUUGCAGAAACCAGUAUUUCAUAUUUUUGAUGGUAUUGUGCUUUGUGUGGAAUGUACUUCCACAAUGAUCCAGGUACAGUACUGGUAAGUGACUGCACAAUAUAAAAUUCAAACAUAGAUAAUAAAAUGUAACACUUAUGUAUGCA